UUGGUAGCUCAGUGGUAGAGUACUUGACCAGCAAUCAAGAGGUCGUGGGUUCGAAUUCCGCCGGGAGAG